UAGGGAAUCUUCCACAAUGGGCGCGAGCCUGAUGGAGCAACACCGCGUGAGUGAAGAAGGGUUUCGGCUCGUAAAGCUCUGUUGUUGGAGAAGAACGUGCGUGAGAGUAACUGUUCACGCAGUGACGGUAUCCAACCAGAAAGUCACGGCUAACUACGUGCC
rnacentral:rRNA from 1 species